GUGUAAAUUAGUUUAACCAUUGUGGGAGACAGUGUGGCGAUUCCUCAAGGAUCUAACCCUUCUUAUGGUGUCUUCUGGCAUUCUCUGACCAGCCAGGAGAGGUCCCCUGAUUUCAAGGACCUUUGUAAUAACACUGAGCACACACAGAUAAUCCCGGAUCAUCUCCCCAUCUCCAGGUCCUUAACUCAAAUGUUGCACCGGAACGAGCAGAAAAUCAACACCAAGACAAAAGUUGUGUUUACUUCAGGAAGAAGAGCUCCCCAUGCUCCUGCAGCUCUGCCAUGGUGCCAAGGGUCCCAGGCCAGUGGACUCCAAGGAGCAGCGAGAAGAUGAGAAGAGGCACUCUGGUCUGUCCAUUCCGCCACCCCGCUCAGGAACUGCUAGAUGGCCUGUGGUGGAGCAAAGCACUUCCAGAGCUGGCCAGGCUCCCUGCUUGGCUCUGCUACGCCACGUUGACCUGUGAACUAUGGAAUCCUGUGGUCAGCAUUUUCACAAACCAUCGUCGCUAUGUUCUC